GACAGAGGUCCCAAGCGUUAGGCGGAAUCACUGGGCUUAAAGCGUGUGUAGGCGGGCCGUUAAGUACCUUGUGAAAUCCCCCGGCUCAACCGGGGAACGGCUGGGUAUACUGGCGGUCUUGAGCCACCUAGGGGCGAGCGGAACAAGCGGUGGAGCGGUGAAAUGCGUAGAUAUCGCUUGGAACGCCGACGGUGAAAACAGCUCGCUGGGGGUGUGCUGACGCUGAGACACGAAAGCCAGGGGAGCGAAACGGG
rnacentral:rRNA from 1 species